rnacentral:rRNA from 1 species
GAUGAACGCUGGCGGCGUGCCUAAUACAUGCAAGUCGAGCGAAUAGAUAAGGAGUUUGCUCCUUUGACGCUAGCGGCGGACGGGUGAGUAACACGUGGGUAACCUACCUACAAUACUGGAAGAACCUCCGGAAACCGGGGCUAAUGUAAGAUAACAUGUUGAACCGCAUGGUUCUACAGUUAACCGCGGCUUGGCUGUCACUUUUAGAUGGAUCCGCGCCGUGCUCGCUAGUUGGGGAGGUAACGGCUCACCAAGGCAACGAUGCGUAGCCGCCCUGAGAAGGGGAUCGGCCACCCUGGGUCUGAGACACGGUCCAGACUCCUAGGAGAGGCACCAGAAGGGGAUUUUCCGCAGUGGUGAAAAACCUGACGCAGCAAACCCGCGUCAGUCAUGACGGACUUCGGAUCGUAAAACACGGUUACUAGGGACAAACAAAUGGAUAAGUAACUGUGAGCGUCUUGACGGUAACUAGUCAGAAAGCCACGCCUAACUACGUU